rnacentral:snRNA from 1 species
AUAAUGAUACGAUAGCAGUAUCGUAUCCAAUGAGGUUAAUCCGAGAUGGAAUUAUUGCUAGUUGAAAACUUUUCCCAAUACCCCGUCUAGACGUCGUGAAAGACCAACAGUCAUGGCAAUUUUAGAUAGCCUUUUUCAGGG